GAACCCCUGCUAGGGGAGUGAAAUAGAACCUGAAACCAUGGACUUACAAGCGGUCGGAGCCCUAUGAUCCUUCGGGAUAAUGGGUGACGGCGUGCCUUUUGCAGAAUGAUCCGGCGAGUUAUCGUGCGUAGCGAGGUUAAGUCUUUAAGGGACGAAGCCGAAGCGAAAGCGAGUGUGAAUAGCGCGUCUAGUUGCGUGCGAUAGACCCGAAAACAGGUGAUCUAACCAUGGCCAGGCUGAAGCGCGCGUAAAAGCGCGUGGAGGGCCGAACGGUUUAACGUUGAAAAGUUAUCCGAUGAGCUGUGGUUAGGAGUAAAAGGCUAAUCAAACCUGGAGAUAGCUGGUUCUCCCCGAAAUAGCUUUAGGGCUAGCCUCACGUAAUAACCGUUGGGGGUAGAGCUACUGAGUGGGAUAGGGGGGCUUCCCGCCUACCCUACCCAUCCAAACUCCGAAUACCAUCGGUCGUAUCGUGGGAGUCAGACCAUGGGGGAUAAGCUCCUUGGUCAAGAGGGAAACAGCCCAGAUCGUCGGCUAAGGUCCCAAAGACAUGCUAAGUGGUAAAGGAAGUGGAGAUGCUAAGACAGCCGGGAUGUUGGCUUAGAAGCAGCCAUCAUUUAAAGAAAGCGUAACAG
rnacentral:rRNA from 1 species